GGGCGUGUAGCUCAGCUGGGAGAGCACUUGGCUCGCAUUCAAGAGGUCAGGGGUUCGAAUCCCCUCACGUCCA
rnacentral:tRNA from 1 species